UAGCCAGGAAUAUUAUAGGUAUUGGGUU
rnacentral:piRNA from 1 species